GACGAACGCUGGCGGCGUGCUUAACACAUGCAAGUCGAACGAUGAAGCUAGAGCUUGCUCUGGUGAAUUAGUGGCGAACGGGUGAGUAACACGUGAGUAACCUGCCCCGAACUCUGGGAUAACUGCUGGAAACGGUAGCUAAUACUGGAUACGACCUACGAAGGCAUCUUCUGUAGGUGGAAAGAAUUUCGGUUCGGGAUGGACUCGCGGCCUAUCAGCUUGUUGGUGAGGUAAUGGCUCACCAAGGCGACGACGGGUAGCCGGCCUGAGAGGGUGACCGGCCACACUGGGACUGGGACACGGCCUAGACUCCUACGGGAGGCAGCAGUGGGGAAUAUUGCACAAUGGGCGCAAGCCUGAUGCAGCAACGCCGCGUGAGGGAUGACGGCCUUCGGGUUGUAAACCUCUUUUAGUAGGGAAGAAGCGAAAGUGACGGUACCUGCAGAAAAAGCACCGGCUGACUACGUGCCAGCAGCCGCAGUAA
rnacentral:rRNA from 1 species